GGGGCAACCCUGAUCCAGCCAUUCCGCGUGAGUGAAGAAGGCCUUCGGGUUGUAAAGCUCUUUCAGCUGGAACGAAACGGUACGCACUAACAUUGUGUGCUAAUGACGGUACCGGCAGAAGAAGCACCGGCUAACUACGUGCCAGCAGCCGCGGUAAUACGUAGGGUGCGAGCGUUAAUCGGAAUUACUGGGCGUAAAGCGUGCGCAGGCGGAUUGUUAAGCAAGAUGUGAAAUCCCCGGGCUUAACCUGGGAAAGGCAUUUUGAACUGGCAGUCUAGAGUGUGUCAGAGGGGGGUGGAAUUCCACGUGUAGCAGUGAAAUGCGUAGAUAUGUGGAGGAACACCAAUGGCGAAGGCAGCCCCCUGGGAUAACACUGACGCUCAUGUACGAAAGCGUGGGUAGCAAACAG
rnacentral:rRNA from 1 species